UAUUUUUUCACUAUUUUUCGGUUUCCAUGGUGAUGGCAGCCAUUUUUUAGUUCCAAAGUUGCCCUACAACUGGAAAGUUAGGGUUCCUUGUUAUAGUGCACCAUCAUUUAGAUUGGUCCCUUUGGCUCUGAGAAAACUGCCGGACAAAAUUAGGUGGAAGAAAAAUAAUAAUAACUAGAUUUGCCAUUGCAAGCAAUAGCGGAUGGCACCCUUCCCAAAUUGCCAGGCGAGUGGCAGCCAUUUUGAAAAAUUCAAAGUCAAAGAGCGCUUUUACACAUGUUUAUUAACGUUGUUGUAAAAUUUCAUCUCGUUUGGAGCAUUUUGAAAUUUUUGAAAUUUUUGCUGUUUCCAUGGUUACGGCGGCCAUUUUGAAAAUUCCAACUUCAAAAGUCAACUCUGCUUAUGCCAGUGACCAUUUCUGUUAAGUUUCAUCCAGUUUGCAGGAUUUGUAUUUAUUUUUUUAUUUUUUUACCUUUUCGCAUUGUUUCCAUGGUAACUACAGACAUUUUGGAAAUUCCAACUCCAAAUGGCACAUCUUCCGAUGUUGCUCAUCACUACUGUGAAGUUUCAUAAAGUUUGGAGCAUUUUGAGAUUUUUGAAAUUUUUGGUGUAGUUUCCAUGGCAACAUAGUAGUUCCAAUGAAUGCCAAAAUCAUCCAACACCUGUAUAUGGCCGGCACCUACAUUGUAUCAAAAUAUGAUGAUUCUGAGUUAAAGCAUAUCCAAACAGUUCACCAAAACAAAAAACUAGAUUUUUUCACAUUUGUUCCAUUUCCAUGGUAACGGCAGCCAUCUUGAACCAUUCCAUGGUGCCUGCAACUCUUCACCUAAGGGUCCUCUAUAUAAUAGAGUUCCAUCAACUUUGGUCCAUUGAAUUUCCAGAAAUCUCCUGGACAAAAUUAGGUGGAAGAAAAAUAAUAACUAGAAUUGCCAUUGCAAGCAAUAGCGGAUGUCACCCUUCCCCCAAUUGCCACUAAGCGACAGCCAUUUAAAAAUUGUUUAACAGUGAAUGCACAUAUGUGCAUGGCAAUACAUUUUUCUGUAAAUUUUCAGUACAUUCAAAGCAUUUUAAAAAAUUCACAUUUCUGCUGUUUCCAUGGCAACGGCAGCCAUUUUGAAAAUUUCAAAGUCAAAAGUCUCAUCUUUACUUGUCAGGUAACAAUAAUAUCAAGUUUCAUUAAGUUCAAAGCAUUUUGGGAAUUUUUGACAUUUUUCCAGUUUCCAUGGCAACGGUAGCCAUUUUGGAAAUUCCAACUUCAAAAGUCUCAUGCAGACUUGACAGUCUACAAUGAUAUGAAGUUUCAUCAAUUUUGAAGCAUUUUGAAAUUUUUGAAAUUUUUGACAUUUGUGAUCGUUCCUAUGGCAACAGAGACCAUUCCCAAAAUUUAAUGGCAUAUACCACAUUGGUACAUGGGAGGGACAUACAUCAAAGUUUCGUUAAAUUUGACCUACCAUUUUUAAGAAAGUAAAUGCCACUUUAAGGUUUUUGGACCAUUUUGACCUGUUUUGCAUUGUUUCCAUGGUAACGGCAGACAUUUUCGAAAUUCCAACGCCAAAUUCCACCUCUACCAAUGUUGCUCAUCGUUAUUGUGAAGUUUUAUAAAAUUUGGAGCAUUUCCAUAUUUUGGAAAUUUUUGGUGUAGUAUCCAUGACAACAUAGCAGUUCCAAUGAUUGCCAAAAUCAUCCCAAAGCAGUAUAUAGUGGGCACCUACAUUGUAUUAAAAUCUAAAGAUUUUAAGGUUAAGCAUUCUCAAACAAUUCACCUUUCUCCAAAAUUAUAUUUUUUCACCAUUUUUCCGUUUCCAUGGUGAUGGCAGCCAUUUUUUUAGUGCCAAUAUUGAAAAGCAACAGGAAAGUCAGGGUUCCUUGUUAUAGUGCACAUCAUUCAGAUUGGUUCCUUUGGCUCUGAGAAAGCGAGCGGACAAAAUUAGGUGGAAGAAAAAUAAUAAUAAUAAUAAUAGAGAAAAAGAAACAGAGGAAAAGCAAUAUGUCACCCGACAUUGUCGAUCGGGUGACAUAAAAAUAAGAAAAAAAAAAGAAACGUACAAUAACAAUACGUCACCCCAACUCCGUUGAGGGUGCCAUAACUAGAAUUGCCAUUGCAAGCAAUAGCGGAUGUCACCCUUCCCCCCAUUGUCACUAAGCGGUUGCCAUUUGAAAACAACUUAACAGUGAAUGCAGAUCUAUGAAUUGCGAUAUAUCUUUCUGUAAAUUUUCAGUAAUAUAAGAGCAUUGUCAAAAGUUUCACAUUUCUGCUGUUUCCAUGGCAACGGCAGCCAUUUUGAAAAUUUCAAAGUCAAAAGUCUGAUC
rnacentral:lncRNA from 1 species